rnacentral:rRNA from 1 species
GUAUAGCAAUAGCUACUUGCAUCAUUGUAGAUAUGAUGUAAGAUCGACUAUGUUGAAUAAAAUUCUAGGUAGAAUUAUGAUAAUGACAUUGUCUGCCUAUGUGUCUUGACCAAAUUACGUGCCAGCAGUCGCGGUAAUACGUAGAAGACUAGUGUUAUUCAUGUUUAAUCGGUUUAAAGGGUACCUAGACGGUAGAUCAAGCUUUCUAAUAAAUGAAAAGGACUAAUUUACUAGAGUUACUUAUGAGGGGGUAUUAAAGUACUGCUGGUGUAGAGAUGAAAUUCUGUCAUACCUCUUUUCAAAAGAAAAACCAUGGCACAGGUAUAGGCGAAGGCAUCCCCUUAUGUGAUAACUGACGUUGAGGGACGAAGGCUUUGUGUAGCGAACAGGAUUAGAUACCCCAGUAGUCGAAGCAGAAAAUGAUGAAUGUCAUAGAUUAGAUGUAUAAGUUUAUUCUAUAAAUGAAAGUGUAAGCAUUCCACCUCAUGAGUAAUUUGGCAACAUUGGAACUGAAAUCAUUAGACCGUUUCUGAAACCAGUAGUGAAGUAUGUUGUUUAAUUUGAUGAUCCGCAAAAAACCUUACCACAAUUUGAAUAUUUAUAUUUUUUUUAUUGUUUUUUUCUUAAGAGAUAAAUAAUUAAAGAAAAAAAUCAAAAAAGGAAGAAAAUUAAGAAAGAGGCAAUAAGAUAUAUUUACAAGCGUUGCACGGCUGUCUUCAGUUAAUGUCGCGAGACUUUGGUUAGUUCCAUUAAAUUAACGUAAACCCUUACUUUAUUUUUAUAUAGAGUAGUUCCCCGCUAUAUUGGAUAUGAUAACAGG